rnacentral:rRNA from 1 species
GAUCUUUAUUUUUGUUUUUUGUUAAUUAAAUAGAAUAGAAAAGUUUAUAAUUGAAUUAAAAAUUUUAUUGGGGUGAUAUUAAAAUUUAAAAAACUUUUAAUUUUUAUUACAUAAAUAUAUGAAUUAUUGAUCCAGUUUUAUUGAUUAAAAAUUUAAGUUACCUUAGGGAUAACAGCGUAAUUUUUUUUUAGAGUUCAAAUCGACAAAAAAGAUUGC